UCCUCCGACCUUGCUGCCCUCCUCCUUUGUCACUGUGGAGAAACAGGAAGGAAUGUUUAUUAGCAAGACUGACUGGGGUCACACCCAAGGCAAUUUCAGAUUUUUACCUCUCCCGGCCCUGGGAAGAAGUUCAAGGAUCAAGGACAAACU
rnacentral:lncRNA from 1 species